CCUACGGGAGACAGCAGUGAGGAAUAUUGGUCAAUGGACGAGAGUCUGAACCAGCCAAGUAGCGUGAAGGAUUACUGCCCUAUGGGUUGUAAACUUCUUUUAUAAAGGAAUAAAACGAGGCACGUGUGCCUUUUUGCAUGUACUUUAUGAAUAAGGAUCUGCUAACUCCGUGCCAUCAGCCGCGGUAAUACGGAGGAUCCGAGCUUUAUCCGGAUUUAUUGGGUUUAAAGGGAGCGUAGAUGGGUUGUUAAGUCAGUUGUGAAAGUUUGCGGCUCAACCGUAAAAUUGCAAUUGAUACUGGCAGUCUUGAGUACAGUUGAGGUAGGAGGAAUUCGUGGUGUAGCGGUGAAAUGCUUAGAUAUCACGAAGAACCCCGAUUGCGAAGGCAGCUUACUAAACUGUGACUGACAUUGAUGCUCGAAAGUGUGGGUAUCAAACAGGAUUAGAUACCCUUGUAGUC
rnacentral:rRNA from 1 species